rnacentral:rRNA from 1 species
UACGAACCGAGCGAACGUUGUUCGGAAUCACUGGGCUUAAAGGGCGCGUAGGCGGGUGCUCAAGUCCGGGGUGAAAUCCCACAGCUCAACUGUGGAACUGCCUCGGAUACUGGGCGUCUCGAGUGUGGUAGGGGUAUGCGGAACUAUCGGUGGAGCGGUGAAAUGCGUUGAUAUCGAUAGGAACUCCGGUGGCGAAGGCGGCAUACUGGACCACCACUGACGCUGAUGCGCGAAAGCCAGGGGAGCAAACGGG